rnacentral:rRNA from 1 species
AUGUGCUCCGCUGCUGGUUGCGCUAUGCUGGGAUGCGGUGGUCGCAAAUGUUGCAUCCAGUGGCGAGGGGUGCUGGAACCGGUGGUUCAGAAUGAUGCAUCCAACUUUUUACUACGAUCAGUCGACCCGUGGUUGAGGAUGCUACCACCAGCGACUAGUCUUUGCUACAACCAUGCAAUAGAAAUCUUCAAUGGGUGGUGGGAGCUGCAACCGACGGACAGGAGCUGCAUGCUAGCGGCGAUGGCUGACGUCGAGCUGCAACCUAGGGCAACAAGAGCUGGAUCCAGCAGAGCUGCAACCCGAUGUUGGUGGAGCUGCAUCCAGCAAUGGCAGAAGCUGGGACUGGCAUUUUGUUUUGCUGCAGCCCGAUGGGAGUGGUGCUGGGGCAACGUGGGGUGGCAUCUAUUUUUUGCUGCAACCGGUGACCGAAUUGCCGGAGCCGCGACCAUCGCCAGUGAGGGAGUUGCAACCAACGAGGGUGAAAGCUUGCUGCAUGUGUGGAUCCGCGGGAGAAAUUCAGGAGACGACGGCGACGAGGGCGGCGACGGGUGA